rnacentral:rRNA from 1 species
CUGCUACUGGACGGUCAGCUACAACAUUUGUCUGCUUCUGGCAACAACUUGGUUGGACCCUUACCAUCAAGCUUGCUAAGUUGUAAGAGCCUAGUAAGGGUUCGACUUGAACGAAAUAACCUUGAAGGAGAUAUCACCGGGAUGGGAGCUUAUCCAAAUCUUCUCUAUAUUGAUGUCAAUUCAAAUAAAUUGUUCGGCAGAUUAUCUCAUCUUUGGGGUGAGUGCUACAAACUUACUGUGUUACAUGCAUCAAACAACAAUAUAACUAGAGUAAUACCAUCAUGUAUAGGGAAAUUAACUCAGCUGGGGAUACUUGAUGUUUCAUCAAACAAGCUUGAAGGACAGAUUCCAAGAGAAAUCAGCAAGGUAACGAUGUUGCUUAACCUGAGCCUUUCUGGUAACUUGCUCCAGGGAAAUAUGCCACAAGAAAUUGGAUCACUUAACAACUUGGAGUAUCUAGAUUUGUCAUCAAACAACCUAACUGGGCAAAUACCAAGAUUAAUUGAGCACUGCCUAAAGAUUCACUUUCUAAAGUUGAGCCACAAUCACCUAAAUGGUACAUUUCCUAUCGAACUUGGGAUGUUAGUAAACCUACAAGAUAUGUUAGAAAAAAGUGACAAUUCAAUUGUUGGAUCUAUUCCAAGUCUGUUAGGCGGUCUUGGUAUGCUUGAAGCCUUGAAUCUUUCUCACAAUGCACUGAACGACAGCAUUCCACCAUCAUUUCGAAGCAUGACCAGUCUCCUAUCCAUGGAUGUGUCAUACAACAGACUAGAAGGGUCAGUGCCACAUGCUAGGUUUUUCGAAGAAGCUCCAAUCAAAUGGUUCAGGAAUAAUAAGAAAUUGUGUGGUGUUGUGAAAGGUUUGCCCCCUUGUGACCUUCCUUGAAGUAGUAAACAAGGGAAAAAGUCUGAUGCUAGUUUACUAGUUAUUAUACUAGUUGUUAUAUCUUUUGUGUUUGUCAUUACACUAGUAACAUGGCGUUGCAAAAGGAAGACAAAUAAGAUAGAAACAAGAAAUGAAGUACAACAGACCAUGAUGUUCGCCAUCUGGAACUUCGAUGGGGAAGAUGUGUACAAGAAAAUUGUUGAUGCCACAAACAAUUUCAGCAAUGCUUUUUGCAUCGGAUCUGGAGGGAAUGGAUCUGUCUAUAGGGCUCAGUUACCAAUAGGUGAACUAUUUGCAGUGAAGAAGAUCCAUGUGGCAGAAGACGAUGAGCAGUUUAACCGUGAAAUACACUCAUUGGUGAACAUUCAACAUCGCAACAUUGCAAAGUUAUUUGGUUACUGCUCUGCAACUCAGGGAAGAUUCCUUGUAUAUGAAUACAUGGACAGAGGGAGCUUAGCAGCAGCUUUAAAUUGUCUGGGAACUGCUGUUGAAAUGGAUUGGGCGAGGAGGUUAAAUAUUGUAAGGGAUGUUGCUCAUGCUUUGUCAUACAUGCAUCACGAUUGCUUUGCACCGAUAGUCCACAGAGAUAUAAAGAGCAGCAAUGUUUUGCUUGAUCUGGAAUUUAAAGCUUGCAUCUCGGAUUUUGGACUAGCAAAAAUACUAGAUGCAAAUGGAUCAAACUGCAGAAAUCUUGCCGGGACAAAAGGAUAUCUUGCACUAUAGCUUGACUACACAACAAGGACCGAGAAGUGUGAUAUUUACCGCUUCGGAGUGCUUGUUCUAGAGUUGUUCAUGCGACAUCACCCAGGUGAUUUCUUUUCAUCCAUUGUCGACAAAAUCGACAAAACUACAUUACUUCGAAAUUUGCUGGACACACGGCUCGCACUGCCGGGAGUUGAGAUCGCAAGUGAGAUGUUUCAAGUGAUUGUCGUCGCGGUCCGGUGCAUAGAGCCUGAUCCAUCACACCGUCCAACGAUGCAACAAGUACUCAAGGUGUUCUCAACAGUUGAAAGAUUGCCUACUGAUCAUCUUGAUUAUCUCCAAACCGGCAUCGUCAUCCCUGCCUGCUGGUCAUGA